ACAUGCAGUCGAGGGAGAAGCCUUCGGGCUGAAACCGGCGCACGGGUGCGUAACGCGUAUACAAUCUGCCUUUCACAUAGGGAUAGCCCGAAGAAAUUUGGAUUAAUACCUAAUGGUAUAUAGGAGCGGCAUCGUUUUUAUAUUAAAGCUACGGUGGUGAAAGAUGAGUAUGCGUUCUAUUAGCUAGUUGGAGAGGUAACGGCUCCCCAAGGCGACGAUAGAUAGGGGUUCUGAGAGGGAUGUCCCCCACACUGGUACUGAGAUACGGACCAGACUCCUACGGGAGGCAGCAGUGAGGAAUAUUGGACAAUGGUCGGAAGACUGAUCCAGCCAUGCCGCGUGCAGGAUGAAGGUCCUAUGGAUUGUAAACUGCUUUUGUAAGGGAAGAAUAAGGGGUACGUGUACUUUGAUGACGGUACCUUACGAAUAAGCAUCGGCUAACUCCGUGCCAGCAGCCGCGGUAAUACGGAGGAUGCGAGCGUUAUCCGGAAUCAUUGGGUUUAAAGGGUCCGUAGGCGGGCUAAUAAGUCAGAGGUGAAAGCGUUCAGCUCAACUGAGCAACUGCCUUUGAAGCUGUUAGUCUUGAAUGAUUGUGAAGUAGUUGGAAUGUGUAGUGUAGCGGUGAAAUGCUUAGAUAUUACACAGAACACCGAUAGCGAAGGCAUAUUACUAACAAUUUAUUGACGCUGAUGGACGAAAGCGUGGGGAGCGAACAGGAUUAGAUAACCUGGUAGUCCACGCUGUAAACGAUGGAUACUAGCUGUUUGGAGCAAUCUGAGUGGCUAAGCGAAAGUGAUAAGUAUCC
rnacentral:rRNA from 1 species